rnacentral:rRNA from 1 species
CAUGCUUUUACAGUAUGAAAAUUGGUGAUUUAUAAUAACUUAGCAAAUCGCUUAGUGAAAACAGGCGAUAAAUCAUUCAAGUUUCUGAUUUUUCUCAUUUUAACGGUAUGGUAUUGGCUUACCGUGGCAGUGACGGUUAACGGGGGAUUAGGGUUCGAUUCCGGAGAGGGAGCCUGAGAAACGGCUACCACAUCUAAGGAAGGCAGCAGGCGCGCAAAUUACCCAAUUCUAACAGUUUGAGAGAGGUAGUAACAAGAAAUAACAAUACAAGGCAGUUAAAAUGCUUUGUAAUUGGAAUGAUAGAAAUUUAAACCCUUUUUAAAGUAUCAAUUGGAGGGCAAGUCUGGUGCCAGCAGCCGCGGUAAUUCCAGCUCCAAUAGCGUAUAUUAAAAUUGUUGCAGUUAAAAAGCUCGUAGUUGAAGUUCUGCUGAAAGUAACCGGUCUGCUUUUAAUAAAAGUGGUAUCUUGGUAUGUAUUUAGCAAUGAUGUCCUUUGAAGUGUUUUUUACUUUAUUGUAAUAAAGCAUAUUCAGGACUUUUACUUUGAGAAAAUUAGAGUGUUUCUAGCAGGCUGACGCUUUGAAUACUGC